rnacentral:rRNA from 1 species
GAUGAACGCUGGCGGCGUGCCUAAUACAUGCAAGUCGAGCGAACGGACGAGAAGCUUGCUUCUCUGAUGUUAGCGGCGGACGGGUGAGUAACACGUGGAUAACCUACCUAUAAGACUGGGAUAACUUCGGGAAACCGGAGCUAAUACCGGAUGAUAUUUUGAACCGCAUGGUUCAAAAGUGAAAGACGGUCUUGCUGUCACUUAUAGAUGGAUCCGCGCUGCAUUAGCUAGUUGGUAAGGUAACGGCUUACCAAGGCAACGAUGCAUAGCCGACCUGAGAGGGUGAUCGGCCACACUGGAGCUGAGACACGGUCCAGACUCCUACGGGAGGCAGCAGUAGGGAAUCUUCCGCAAUGGGCGAAAGCCUGACGGAGCAACGCCGCGUGGGUGAUGAAGGUCUUCGGAUCGUAAAACUCUGUUAUUAGGGAAGAACAUAUGUGUAAGUAACUGUGCACAUCUUGACGGUACCUAAUCAGAAAGCCACGGCUAACUACGUG